UCUAACACUACAGGCAACAAGAUUAUUGAUAUGAAGUCAGGACAAAGAUCUAAGGACUGAUGACAACUUUUCGAGUGAGAGAAUAGCUGCAGGCUUACUGUCGAUGAGCCCUUCUGAUGAAUCUUUCAAGCUUGGUGGUGAUUAUAUGGGCAGAAUUAUCCAACAUGAUGGUCAAACGUUCCCUGCAAAAUGUUGUACGUUGGUAUGGAUUCAGAACAUCAUUGCAGCCUGCAGAAGCAGGAAGGAGGUAACUGCUCCACAAAUUUUGCUAUGCAAAUUUUCUUUCAAAUGCACCUGAGAACUUAUAUUUCAUUGAUAUAGAAGGGUGCAGAUGAGGCAUCUGGCCUUCAAUAAAGCCUAUGAAGCUUUCAUAUAUUUUCUGAGCUUUGUAGGUUGGAUUGAGUAGGUGGGUGUAAGGUAUAUCAUUAUCGCACUUGGACUACAGAGACCCUGCUAUUUCAGAUUGCUGUGAUUUUUUUACUAUUCCUUUCAAUUCAACACUCUCAUGUUGGAUUGUAUAGGACUGAGUUAGCUAUAUUUGAAGUUUUUCCGCUCGCGACAGAUUGAAUCCUUCUCCAAAUAAAAUCAAAAUUCAAUUA